GAUGAACGCUGGCGGCGUGCUUAACACAUGCAAGUCGAACGGAAAGGCUCCUGCUUGCAGGGGUACUCGAGUGGCGAACGGGUGAGUAACACGUGGGUGAUCUGCCCUGCACUUCGGGAUAAGCCUGGGAAACUGGGUCUAAUACCGGAUAGGACGAUGGUUUGGAUGCCAUUGUGGAAAGUUUUUUCGGUGUGGGAUGAGCUCGCGGCCUAUCAGCUUGUUGGUGGGGUAAUGGCAUACCAAGGCGUCGACGGGUAGCCGGCCUGAGAGGGUGUACGGCCACAUUGGGACUGAGAUACGGCCCAGACUCCUACGGGAGGCAGCAGUGGAGAAUAUUGCACAAUGGGCGCAAGCAUGAUGCAGCGACGCCGCGUGGGGGAUGACGGCCUUCGGGUUGUAAACUCCUUUCGCUAGGGACGAAGCGCAAGUGACGGUACCUGGAGAAGAAGCACCGGCUAACUACGUG
rnacentral:rRNA from 1 species